rnacentral:rRNA from 1 species
CCCUACGGGAGGCAGCAGUGGGGGAUAUUGCACAAUGGGGGCAACCCUGAUGCAGCGACGCCGCGUGAGCGAUGGAAUACUUCGGUAUGUAAAGCUCUGUCAGCAGGGAAGAGAAUGACGGUACCUGACCAAGAAGCCCCGGCUAAAUACGUGCCAGCAGCCGCGGUAAUACGUAUGGGGCAAGCGUUAUCCGGAUUUAUUGGGUGUAAAGGGCGUGUAGGCGGGAGCGCAAGUCAGAUGUGAAAACUCAGGGCUCAACCCUGAGCCUGCAUUUGAAACUGUGUUUCUUGAGUGCUGGAGAGGCA